rfam:Gammaproteobacteria bacterium SG8_15 WOR_8-12_83937, whole genome shotgun sequence.
AAUGGCAGAGGAUUUGCGGACGCGGGUUCGAUUCCCGCCGCCUCCACCA